CCCCAAUACCAUAACAUAACACGCCCCACCACACGCCAUACACAGACGUACACACAGAGACAUUUGAUAAUUUAACCAAAAUGCUUUACGCAUUGUAUUAUCAAUUAUUCCUCCGCGUAAAUAAUAAUAUACGGUUAUCAUGCUUUCUUACUUCUUAAAUACUUGCGUGCAGGUAAUUCCAGCAAGUGUCGUUACCUGCAGGACAAGCUUCUUUAAUGCAACUAUAAAAGGAGCAGGAAUCUUAUGCUUUUUUCCAUAUAGUAACCCUUAAUAAAAAAUUAAAAACAAUUAUUUUAGAGUCAUUUUGCUAUUCCUUGUACCAUUUCCCAGAGAGAACGCCUGUUAGUAACUGUCACAUCGCUUUUCACAUUCUGUCGAUGCAUCAUCAAGUGAGCAAACCCUGAGCACGCGUCCCUUCAUUUUAAUCAAUUUUAUUUGCUUCUCCUAGCGUGACAUUAACCUGUUGCUCACCAAGCUACAAAGAGGCGGGGCUGGGACGCCACACCGUCCCUUUGGAGGACCGGAGGUGAGCAGAAAGAAGGAAGCCGUUCUGCCGCUUGCUCUGAACUCUAUGGUUAUGAUGGUGGCAGCGCGUACGUGAGUGAGGACCUCUUUCCAGAGCACGACGCAGUCGGAAAGAGGCUAGGGCAAGACUGCUUGGGGGAGCCCCACUUAGCAGGUGUAGUUCAAGCAGCGACAUGUGAGCGAGAGCAGGCGGGGGCAGCCGAGAGAUGAACGGGGAUGGGCCAGCAAGUGGGCCACGUCGGAGAGCCGGUUGGCCCUCCGCUUCAAGUGCCGCCGUCGCGGGACCAGCCUGUUUCUCAGUCACGGCUUCCAGCAAGAGGGCUGCUCGGAAGUAGCAGCAGCGCAGUCAGGGCUGCUGGUCGAAGGAGGGAGGCGAGGGUCCCCCGAGGGGUCAGGAACGGCUUCAGCGAAUGCGACCAGGUCUGUCCACUCCUGAAGUUUCAUAGACUGCAUCCAUACUGAGCCAGUGGACCAACCAAACAGCCCCAA
rnacentral:lncRNA from 1 species